GCCGUCUCUCGCCUCCGGCGCGUCGCUCUCCUCGCCCGGGUCUUCCGCGUCGUACGGGAAGCUCUCCUGGUCCUGCUGGUCGUUGCUGUCCGCAGCCGAGGCAACCUGCCUAUCAGUGGGCUCGUAAGCUGGUGCGGGUUGUUGAUAGGCCACCGCUGGUCCAUUAGGACUUUGGGGUGGUCACAUCGGCUCAGUGGUGCACACAGAAGAGAGUCUGGAGUGGAAUGACAUAUGGAUGGAGCUUUGGAUGCAAGCGGUGGGGCAGAGCUAUGCAUGUCAAUAGGACCGAGGCGUCAUGCCUCCUGGGAAGGUCUUAUCUCUUCUGCUCUGUGCACUGAAGACACGGAACACAGCUUAUGGAUCGAUGCAAAGCAAAGCAUGACUGUCACUUCUAUUAUUUAGUAUAAUGAAUGGGAAUUAUUUUUUCUGUAUUAAUGAAGGCUUACAUUCUUACUCAUGGAUCAUCAGUGAUUUAUCUUGAAUCAGUAGAAAACUAUCUAUUCCUCCAAAGGGACAGUUCUCCAAAGCAUUAAAUUCUCUCAUCAUGUACUCUCCCUUGUGUCUUUCUGAACCUGUCAUUCAACUGUUUUUGUCCAUGUAGGUCAACAGGGUUCAAAACAACAUUGAUCCCCAAUGACCUUCACGUCACACCAUAACAAACUGUGACAUUUACUAUAAAUAGACAAAAGCUAUGGUUGCCAGAAUUUUAUCAUAAAAAUAUGCUAGAAUGUUUUUUGUUUUGUUUUAUAUUUUAAACUUGAAGGGAUAGUUCACCCAAAAAUGAAAUUCUGUCAUCAAUUACACGCCCUCAUGUCGUUCUAAACCCGUAGACCUUCGUUUCGUCUUCGGAACACAAAUCAAUAUACUUUUAGACCCUGAAUAGACAGCAAGGAUAUUACCACGGUCAACACACAGAAAUGUAGCAAGGACAUGGGUAAAAUAGUCCAUGUGACGUCAGUGGUUCAACUGUAAUUUUAUGAAGCUACGAGAAUACUUUUUGUGCACAAAGAAAACUAUAAUAACAUAAUUUAUUCAAUAAUUCUUCUCCAGAGUUACCAUCUUUUAUCAUUUCGGAAAGUACCCCUGAACUUAAUCAACAUAAAGCUCGGUUUACAUUCAGAAUGUGUGUGCUGUCUAUUGAAUGUAAACAAUGUUGAUUGCAUUCAAAAAGUAUUCUUGUACCUUUGUAAAAUUAAGAUUGAACCCCUGAUAUCAUGUGGACUAUUUUACCGAUGCCCUUGCUAUGUUUCUCUGCUUUGAUUGUGGUAAUAUCCUUGCUGUCUAUGGAGGAUCAGAAAAUAAUCAGAAUAUAUCAGAAAUAUCUUAAUUUGUGUUCCUAAAGAUGAACAAAAGGCUUACGGGAAUGGAAUGACAUGAGGGUGAGUUAUUAAUGACAGUAUUUUCAUUUUUGGGUGAACUAACCCUUUAAAUUUAAAGUAAAAAACUCACAUGUAAAGGGUGCAUGCGUCAUGAACACAAAUACAAAACACUCGCUUUGUAACACACUAAAACAACGCAAUAAAAAUUUAUUUAACAACAUACGAUAAAACAUAAAGCCCUAAAAAAGGUAAGAACUUCUCAUUUACCAUUAAAUAGUUUUUACUGUAGCAUUUUUUGUCUUUUACCAUUAAAAUCAUAUUUUUUUUCAAUGGAUGGGAAGAAAUAAAGGGGCUUUUUCUUUGAGAAGUUGUAGAUUUACGAAACAUAUAAUAUGUAAUGCAUAAUUAGUUACAGGUGCAUCUCAAUAAAUUAGAAUGUCGUGAAAAAGUUAAUUUAUUUUAGU